GCAGGCGUUACUGCGUUUGGUCUAUGCUCAGGCCACCUACCUGGGAGGGAAUCUUUUCUCUGAGUUAAUACUUCCCAGAAAUGUCUUCUGAACUGCCCUCGCCGAGGUGUUUCUUAGUUGAUUUCAGAUCCUGCUGGAGAUUUCCAAAUCAAGGCGUAGAACUCCCAUCUCCUUCUCUGGCACCAUGGCUGCCUGCGCACCUCACCAUGCUCCCCACGGUGGAUAAUGGACUAAACCUCUGAAACAGAAUACAGGAUGGCAACAGCCUGAUCGUCUCAGCUGACUACGUUGGGACUGUUUCCCUGCUACAUGACCAGAGAGCCCUCUCUUCAGUGGACACAGAACUACCUACCCCCUUAGACAAAGACCUCCCUGCAGCAGAAAACAGCUACAAUGGCCCCACCCGGAUUUUUUUUUUUUUAAUCUGAGUUAGAAAUGGUCAUUUCCUGCUGAAGAGAUAUACUUCCCAGCUUCCCUUGCGGACUACAAACGUAAUUUCUGCCAUCUUCCCCUAUAGGCAUUUUGGCCAUUCACACUCAUGGUGAGAAAGAUGUCCAGGUGUCAAUAAAUAUGGUUCUGCCUAAGAUCAGAUCAAGCUCUUUUUCCAUCUUCUCUCUCUCUCCAGGUGCUUUUUAAAAACCAUCUAACGCAUGGUGCAGAACUUGCUAAGUGUCUCACGAAUUCUUCUAACUCUCAUCAAUACCUUUUGCUAACAUGUUCUUAUCUCAAAAUGUUAAAAAAAAAAAAGUAUUGCCCGCUUUACAAUCUAAAAACUUACUUGUCAAACAAAGUUAAUCUCAAGAGCGUAUCGUGACAGAUUAUGGAAACUCAUUUGUGUAUGCCUGGUACCAACAUAUCCUGCUCACUAUACGAUACUUUAAAAUUAAAAAGAAUAAAAAGAAUGAAUUUCACAAUCAUUACAUGCCUGCUACAUGGAAGGAAUGAAAA